rnacentral:rRNA from 1 species
UACAGAGGUCUCAAGCGUUGUUCGGAAUCACUGGGCGUAAAGGGUGCGUAGGCGGCGGAGUAAGUCGGAUGUGAAAUUUGGAGGCUCAACCUCCAACUUGCAUCUGAUACUGCUUCGCUAGAGACCUGGAGAGGAGUUUGGAAUUCUCGGUGUAGCAGUGAAAUGCGUAGAUUUCGAGAAGAACGCUCGCAGCGAAAGCGAAACUCUGGACAGCGUCUGACGCUGAGGCACGAAGGCUAGGGGAGCAAAG